rnacentral:rRNA from 1 species
GCACUCUUUGGACGUCGACCGGCGCACGGGUGAGUAACGCGUAUCCAACCUUCCCAUUACUGUGGGAUAACCUGCCGAAAGGCAGACUAAUACCGCAUAGUCUUCGAUGACGGCAUCAGAUUUGAAGUAAAGAUUUAUCGGUAAUGGAUGGGGAUGCGUCUGAUUAGCUUGUUGGCGGGGUAACGGCCCACCAAGGCUACGAUCAGUAGGGGUUCUGAGAGGAAGGUCCCCCACAUUGGAACUGAGACACGGUCCAAACUCCUACGGGAGGCAGCAGUGAGGAAUAUUGGUCAAUGGACGGAAGUCUGAACCAGCCAAGUAGCGUGCAGGAUGACGGCCCUAUGGGUUGUAAACUGCUUUUGUAUGGGGAUAAAGUUAGGGACGUGUCCCUAUUUGCAGGUACCAUACGAAUAAGGACCGGCUAAUUCCGUGCCAGCAGCCGCGGUAAUACGGAAGGUCCAGGCGUUAUCCGGAUUCAUUGGGUUUAAGGGGAGCGUAGGCUGGAGAUUAAGUGUGUUGUGAAAUGUAGACGCUCAACGUCUGAAUUGCAGCGCAUACUGAUUUCCUUGAGUACGCACAACGUUGGCGGAAUUCGUCGUGUAGCGGUGAAAUGCUUAGAUAUGACGAAGAACUCCAAUUGCGAAGGCAGCUGACGGGAGCGCAACUGACGCUUAAGCUCGAAGGUGCGGGUAUCAAACAGGAUUAGAUANCCUGGUAGUCCGCACAGUAAACGAUGGAUGCCCGCUGUUGGUACCUGGUAUCAGCGGCUAAGCGAAAGCAUUAAGCAUCCCACUGGGGA